rnacentral:rRNA from 1 species
GACGAACGCUGGCGGCGUGCUUAACACAUGCAAGUCGAACGGACAGGCCCUGCUUGCAGGGUACUCGCGUGGCGAACGGGUGAGUAACACGCGGGUGAUUUGCCCUGCACUUCGGGAUAAGCCUGGGCAACUGGGUCUAAUUCCGGCUGGGAGCCAUUUUUAGUGUGAUGGUUGGAUAGUUUUUUCGGUCUUGGCUGAGCUCGCGGCCUAUCUGCUUGUUGGUGUGGUAAUGUCCUACCAACGCGGCGACGGGUAGCCGGCCGGCGUGAGUGGACGGCCACACUGAGUCGGAGAGACGGCCGAGACAGCGACGGGAGGGAGCAGUGGGGAAGAUUGCACAAGGGGCGCAGGCCUGAUGCAGCGAGGCCGCGUGGGGGAAGACUGCCUUCGGGGUGAAAACUCAUUUCGCUAGGGACGAAGCAUGUUGUGACGGUACCUAGAUAAAAAGCACCGGCUAACUACGUG